CACUGUUUGCAUUUAAUCAAUAUGGUUUUUCUUUUUCAACAAUUUACUAGCUAUCUUGCUUUAUCUCUUUUGUUUGAUUUCCAGCAAUAGCAGAGCUUGAUAAUGCAUUUGAUGAGGCAAGACCUUCAGCCUGCCUUCUCUAUGAGAAUAGCUUUCUCUUCUUGAUAUAGGAGGUUUAUUUAUAUGUUUGAAUGUCAUAGUAAAUUUUGUGGGGGGGUUCAGUUGCAUUAGUUUAUGCUUUAGAAAGCCUUUGGUGAGCUAUGAGUAAAUUGACAAUAUUCUAAUGUUGCCUGUGAUCCAGAUAAGUAAUGGUUCUACAUUUGUCAAAAUUGAUAAACCUAGUAAUCAACAUUCAAGCAAACCUUCAUUAUUAAUUCAAGGUAGUUGUUAUCAAAUAAAUAUUUGUUUCUUUUAUUUUCGUUUUUAAUAUUAAGAGGAGAGUGUUUUGUUUUCCUUUACUAAUUUUCCCUUGAAUUUUUGACUUGAUUUGAUUUUACAUCAAGAUGAUGGUGGUGGAAUGGAUCCAAUACUCUUGCGGCACUGCAUGAGCUUUUUAAAAAUAUAUUAAGAUGAUGGUAACAUCAUGUUUCUUUGUCCCGGCAAACAGAAUCACAUUCAUCUCGAUCUACUUUGCAGUUUAAUGAUAUGGGAAAUCAUGGUACCAAAAUAAUCAUAUAUAACUUAUGGCACAAUGACACAGGGGAGACCGAACUUGAUUUUGAAAUUGAUGAAAAGGUAUACUGCUCAAUUCUAUAUUUGCACAUGCCGGACAAUUUCAAAAUUAUUUUAUAUGAAUGUGAAGUAGAGCACCAUUAUAUAGCCAGAGAUCUCAAAUACUGUGAAUGUGUUCAGUACCGAGCACACGUUGGUGAGAAGAUAGAGCCGUUUCACCAUGGAGCAAGUUAUAGAGGCAAAGGUGUGGUUGGGCUGUGGAAGAACAUCCUUAAGUGUGCAUUGUUAGGUUGAUCUCGUCCCUUGGUUGACGAUAAAGACACAAAUCCAUCAACUAUCUUGAUCAUUAGAGGGAGUGAAGGGUGCAUCAUUCCCAUUUGGUUGGUUAUGAGAAGAAAAUUUCCAGCUCAGCUGCACAUCGGUCUGCUGCUCACCCACUGCAUUCUUCUUCUAGGUGUUACAUUAAGUCCAUCCCUGUUAAUACCUCUACAACAUUAACAGGCACUACAUGUAUGGUUUCCAAUCACAAUGCAAGUUCAGUGCCAGCCAAGUAAUUGCGCUGGAUGGCAAAAAGGUGUGGAUAUAAAAGCCUUGAUACAAGAAAAUAUUGAAGCGCACCGAGAGUGAGUGCAAGCUAAGCUGUUUUGUUUCUUUUAUAUCAAGCUAGAGCAAAUAUCUUGAGCCCACCUAAAGAAAACUUUUGAAAAAGGGUAUACACUUCCAAAGACCUCCAAAGACCGCCAAAGACUAGAUUGAUGCACCUCCAGAGACCUUAUUGAUCAGAUGCAAAUAGUAGAUACAGCUCUAAAGAACCACUUAUGUGACGUAGCAUUUGAAUGUAAAAUUUGGGGUGCACAGAGAUGAUUUCCAAAGUCUUCUUGGUACAAGCAUAGUAUGUCAUCAAAACCUAUACAAGUAAAGAAAUUAAUCCAUUAAAGAGUAAUAUACUAUGGGAUGUUGGCUGAGUGUUUGGCUGAACUUGGUAGUACCUAGCACUCCAAAAUCUCCCAUUGAGUGGAGCAUAAGAACUAUUUGAGCAAACAACUAAGUCACUUCUUUUUGCAGUGCAGUCUUCUCCUACCAUCGUCAGUUGAGAUGAAAACUGACGAUGAAAAUUUAUUUGGUCUGUAAGUUUUUAGUUUCUUCAAAUUCUUCAUUUAUGUAAGAAUCCAGAAAAGAUGUCUGAUA